GAUAGUUGUUUGGUUUGAGGCUUCCCAGCUGGGUUGGACGGGGGUGGUACUGGCUCUAAGGAGUGGGAGGGGGGGGUCCCAUGUCAGCGCCAGCUUCCUAGUAGAAGGAGCCUCCACCCUCCGGUUUGGCUGCUGCCAUUGUCUUUGCCCCCUGAGGAGCCACAGCUCUCCCUGCUCUCUUCUCUCCUGGAGACACUCUGAGACCAGCAGAAAAGGAAAUGCUACCAUGACAAUGAGGAUUUGUUGAGAAGCAAAAACAUUGGAGGAAAAGAAAUCCCAGAGAGGUGUUUGAGGACUGGGACAGAUGGAGGAUAAAGAAAUACAGCUGUGCUUUUGGCUACAGAGUACAGCUGGUUGAAUUUACAGAUGCAGAACCUGUGGAUACAGAAAGCCAACUGUAUAUAUUUCCACUAAGAAAACAGCACAGGAGGGAGUUCCUGUCAUGGCUCAGUGGUAAUAAAUACAACUAGUAUCUAUGAGGACACAGAUUCGAUCCCUGGCUUUGCUUAGUGGGUUAAGGACCCAGCCUUGCCAUGAGCUGUGAUGUAGGUUGCAGAUGUUGCUCGGAUCCUCAUUGCUGUGGCUGUGGUGUAGGCCGGCAGCUACAGUUCUGAUUCAACCCCUAGCCUGGGAACUUCCAUAUGCCUCAGGUGCGGCCAUAAAAAAAAAGCAAAUAAAAUAACAUAAAACAGUAGAGGAAAGGAGAUAAGCAUAAUUCUUACCUUCAAACUAAUUAAUUAAGGAAAUUCUUUCCUAACAAACUCUGUGUAUCCCCAUUUUGUUGUUUAGUUAACAAUUUGCUCCUUAGUAGCUUUGGAAUACAGAUGUGGUUGGAAAUUGUCUGCUUAAAAAGUAAUGAAAAAAAUACAUUCAGCAAUCUGACAGCUUGUUUUUAAAGACUUUUUAAGUGAAAGUAAUGUGAACACAGUUACUUCCAGUGGAGAAAAAUAUUCUGUAUUCUGAUUUGCAUGUUAACUCCUUUGAAGUAUCAUUAUCUGAAAUAUCAGUAAUUGCUAUAUUUCAGUGGUUCCUAGAAGGUAUUUGAGUUGUAUUUUAUUUCUGUUUUUGUGUUUGUACUCCAAAAAGUUUCAACUGGGAAUUUAAGAGUGCUUUUUAAUAAAUAUUUCAAAACAC
ensembl:lncRNA